rnacentral:rRNA from 1 species
UACGUAGGGUGCAAGCGUUAAUCGGAAUUACUGGGCGUAAAGCGUGCGCAGGCGGUUAUGCAAGACAGACGUGAAAUCCCCAGGCUCAACCUGGGAACUGCGUCUGAUACUGGAUGGCCUGAAUCCGGGAGAGGGAUGCAGAAUUCCAGGUGUAGCGGUGAAAUGCGUAGAUAUCUGGAGGAAUACCGGUGGCGAAGGCGGCAUCCUGGACCGGCAUUGACGCUGAGGAGCGAAAGCUAGGGGAGCAAACGGG